AAAGAAUUAGUUAAAAUAUAACAUAAAUAUGUCAAAUUUAAAUUAUUAACUCAAUUAAUAUUCUUUU
rnacentral:tRNA from 1 species